AGUGGAUGCGAGCAUCUUGUUGUAAGCAAGUGUGUAAGGGCAUACGGUGAAUGCCUGGGCAUCAGGAGCCGAUGAAGGACGUGGGAGGCCGCGAUAGGCCUCGGGGAGCUGCCAACCGAGCUGUGAUCCGAGGAUCUCCGAAUGGGGAAACCCGGCAUCCGUCAUGGGGUGUCACCGGCAGCUGAAUCCAUAGGCUGUCGGAGGGAACGUGGGGAAGUGAAACAUCUCAGUACCCACAGGAAGAGAAAACAACCGUGAUUCCGUGAGUAGUGGCGAGCGAAAGCGGAAGAGGCUAAACCCGCGCCGUGCCAAGCUGACAGGCGUUGCGGCGCGGGGGUAGUGGGACGGAUCCGUGGAAAGGCUGUCACCUUUCCGAGAGGUGUGCGUGCGGUUAGCGGAAGGCGUCUGGAAAGCGUCGGCGUAGAGGGUGACACCCCCGUACGCGAAAACCGGACGUACGCCUCUGGGGUCCGCUUCCCGAGUAGCAGCGAGCCCGUGGAAUUCGCUGUGAAUCCGGCGGGACCACCCGUCAAGCCUAAAUACUCCCUGGUGACCGAUAGCGGACGAGUACCGUGAGGGAACGGUGAAAAGUACCCCGCGAGGGGAGUGAAAUAGUACCUGAAACCGUGUGCCUACAAGCCGUCAGAGCCUUUCGGGGUGAUGGCGUGCCUUUUGAAGAAUGAACCUGCGAGUUAUGCUUCGUGGCGAGGUUAACCCGUGUGGGGUAGCCGUAGCGAAAGCGAGUCCGAAUAGGGCGUCCGAGUCGCGGGGUGUAGACCCGAAGCGGAGUGAUCUACCCAUGGCCAGGGUGAAGCGCCGGUAAGACGGCGUGGAGGCCCGAACCCACCAGGGUUGAAAACCUGGGGGAUGAGCUGUGGGUAGGGGUGAAAGGCCAAUCAAACUCCGUGAUAGCUGGUUCUCCCCGAAAUGCAUUUAGGUGCAGCGUCGCGUGGUGGAUGCCGGAGGUAGAGCACUGGAUGGGCUAGGGGGCCGACAAGCUUACCGAACUCAACCAAACUCCGAAUGCCGGUAUUCCUAGCGUGGCAGUGAGACUGCGGGGGAUAAGCUUCGUAGUCGAGAGGGAAACAGCCCAGAUCACCGGCUAAGGCCCCUAAGCGUGCGCUAAGUGGGAAAGGAUGUAGGAUCGCAGAGACAGCCAGGAGGUUGGCUUAGAAGCAGCCAUCCUUGAAAGAGUGCGUAACAGCUCACUGGUCGAGUGGUCCUGCGCCGACAAUGUAGCGGGGCUCAAGCGCACCGCCGAAGCCGUGGCAUCGUCGCAUUGAUCCGCCGGCGCCCCUGUGGUGCUGGUGUAGUCGCGACGAUGGGUAGGGGAGCGUCGCGCAUCCGGCGAAGCCGCGGGGUGACCCAGUGGUGGAGGGUGUGCGAGUGAGAAUGCAGGCAUGAGUACGCGAGAGCAGAGUGAGAACCUCUGCCGCCGAAUGACCAAGGGUUCCUGGGCUAGGCUAAUCCGCCCAGGGUGAGCCGGGACCUAAGGCGAGGCCGACAGGCGUAGUCGAUGGACAACGGGUUGAUAUUCCCGUGCCCGUGACAGUGCGUCCCUGACGAACCCGGUGAAACUGCUCAUCCGAACCCGCCCGGUCCCCUUCGGGGGACCGUGGACGGGGGAGCGUGAGCAGCGGAUCCGGUAGUAGUCAAGCGAUGGGGUGACGCCGGAGGGUAGUCCCGCCAGUGAAUGGUAGUACUGGUGUAAGCCCGUAGCCCGACAUCCAGGCAAAUCCGGAUGUCAUUAAAGGGUGAGAGGCGAUGCAUAGCCGAUUGAGGCGAAGCAGGAUGAUCCCAUACGGCCGAGAAAAGCCUCUAGCGAGUGCUGUCGCGGCCCGUACCGCAAACCGACACAGGUGGUCAGGUAGAGAAUACCGAGGCGAUCGAGCUAACUGUGGUCAAGGAACUCGGCAAACUGCCCCCGUAACUUCGGGAGAAGGGGGGCCGCUUCGCCUGAAGCCCCUCGCGGGCUAGGGUGGGGCGGCCGCAGAGACCAGGCCCAAGCGACUGUUUACUAAAAACACAGGUCCGUGCGAAGUCGCAAGACGAUGUAUACGGACUGACGCCUGCCCGGUGCUGGAACGUUAAGGGGACCCGUUAGCUCCCUUCGGGGGGCGAAGCGGAGAACUUAAGCGCCAGUAAACGGCGGUGGUAACUAUAACCAUCCUAAGGUAGCGAAAUUCCUUGUCGGGUAAGUUCCGACCUGCACGAAUGGCGUAACGACUUGGGCGCUGUCUCGACCACAGGCUCGGCGAAAUUGCACUACGAGUAAAGAUGCUCGUUACGCGCGGCAGGACGGAAAGACCCCGGGACCUUUACUACAGCUUGGUAUUGGUGCUCGGUUCGGCUUGUGUAGGAUAGGUGGGAGACUGAGAAGCGGCCACGCCAGUGGCCGUGGAGUCGUCCUUGAAAUACCACUCUGGUCGAACUGGGUGUCUCAACCUCGGGCCAUGAUCUGGCCCAGGGACAGUGCCUGGUGGGUAGUUUAACUGGGGCGGUUGCCUCCCAAAAUGUAACGGAGGCGCCCAAAGGUUCCCUCAGCCUGGUUGGCAAUCAGGUGUUGAGUGUAAGUGCACAAGGGAGCUUGACUGUGAGACAGACAUGUCGAGCAGGGACGAAAGUCGGGACUAGUGAUCCGGCACCGCCUGGUGGAAGGGGUGUCGCUCAACGGAUAAAAGGUACCCCGGGGAUAACAGGCUGAUCUUGCCCAAGAGUCCAUAUCGACGGCAUGGUUUGGCACCUCGAUGUCGGCUCGUCGCAUCCUGGGGCUGGAGUAGGUCCCAAGGGUUGGGCUGUUCGCCCAUUAAAGCGGUACGCGAGCUGGGUUUAGAACGUCGUGAGACAGUUCGGUCCCUAUCCGCCGCGCGCGCAGGAGACUUGAGGAAGGCUGUCCCUAGUACGAGAGGACCGGGACGGACGAACCUCUGGUGUGCCAGUUGUCCCACCAGGGGCACGGCUGGUUGGCUAUGUUCGGAAGGGAUAACCGCUGAAGGCAUCUAAGCGGGAAGCUCGUUCCAAGAUGAGGUCUCCCACCACCUCGCGUGGUUAAGGCCCCCAGCAGACCACUGGGUUGAUAGGCCAGAGAUGGAAGCCCGGCAACGGGUGGAGUCGACUGGUACUAAUAGGCCGAGGGCUUGCCACAACA
rnacentral:rRNA from 1 species